CACAGACCACCCACACACACACAUCACAUCCUACCACAACUCUACACUACCCAACACUCAAAAGGGAGUAACAAUAGACCAGAAUUCUUCUUUUCUCAUCAGCGAAUCGCCCCGAUCAGACGUCCGCAAGUUUCCGCCCGUGUUCCCCUUUCAUACGCCGUUUCAUUUUACGUUAAAGUGCAAAAAGUUUACGACUUGGUCUCAACAGUUAUAGAAGUUCUCUGUAACGAACAUUCGAACUUAGAACAUUUAUUCGAACAGAACUGUUCCGAAAAAACAAUGUGACCCUCCGCCUCAAAUAAUAUGAAUACAAUCUUUACACCGGUGGACUAUUGGUUUAAGGCGUGCAAUAUAAAUAGCCAGCGUCAUUACCAACAAAAUGCAGCCAACACAUGACGAAUUACUAACUCAGACAUUGGUAUGUAUGAUUUCCUCAAGAGUAACUUUUAAAAUAUAAGGAGGUAGUUAUCAACGAAGGAUCACCCGUUAUAAGAAGAGAUGCUACUAGGCAAUUAACGUCUGAAUCGACUAUGAAAGCCAAUCGGAAAGUGUAAGGCAAUAUGGAUCCAGCGCUAACCAAAAAUAAGUGGAACGUCUGUAACUAAACAUAAGGUCUCAAGUACAUCAGUUGGGACCCCUCAUAAACACAAUUACCGAAUUGCAAAGCAAAUUUGACACACGUAAUCAUUCAAAUGUUCGUGUUUCUUCUAAAAUAUUGUAACACGGAAAUAACACGACUUUUCUUAACUCUUCAGUCAUCGCACUUAAUGUACCUCAAAUAAUAUGCAGCCAACGGCGCACUAAUGAAUUACAAACAGUUCUUAUUCACCACUUUAGCUUAAUCAUCGAUCUAAUAUACAAAAAGUUGAAAUAAAAUCAGUUUAAUGUAUUACUACAUAUAAGAUAAUUUCAUCAAGUUUUAUUUCACUGGUCUACCAAACGAAACAGUAACUUUCCAGCGCCUAGGUACGUAACUAUGCGUGGGCUUGACAUCCUUAUGGUGACAUAUACAAUGCGUUGUUUGAUCUCAGCGACUUCGCGCAACUGGACUGAAAUUUAAAUAAAUCUUAGAACAUCUUAUAAUGUAUAAUGGUGUUCGACUCCUAUCAGUAAAAGUUGAAGAGUUGUAUUGCAAAGUUGAUGGGCAACUAUUGAUUUUUAUUUGAAAUUUGGGGCAGCAAAAGUUCUACACUAAGUAAUUAAUGGAAAUAUAGCUCUCGCAAGCAAUGAUUUUAACGAGUGAAAACGAGACAUGACCGAGGCAUUGAUAUUGCUCACGUCGCUUAACCGGGAACCAAAACAGGCCCUAGGUAAAAGCAAAUUCUCCCUCUAAGCAUUUU